UACGAGGGAUGCAAGCGUUAUCCGGAAUUAUUGGGCGUAAAGCGUUUGUAGGCGGGCGAGUGUGUUUAAUGUUAAAUCUUAAAGCUCAACUUUGAAAUUGCGUUAAAAACUGCUUGUCUUGAGUAUGGUAGGGGUAAAGGGAAUUCCCAGUGUAGCGGUGAAAUGCGUAGAUAUUGGGAAGAACACUAAACAGCGAAGGCACUUUACUAGGCUAAUACUGACGCUGAGAAACGAAAGGUAAGGUAGCGAAACGGAUUAGAUACCCGUGUAGUCUUACCCGUAAACUAUGGACACUAAACGGUAAAUUUUUAAUUUACUGUUAAAGCUAACGCGUUAAGUGUCCUGCCUGGGGAGUAUGCUUGCAAAAGUGAAACUCAAAGGAAUUGACGGGGGCCCGCACAAGCGGUGGAGCAUGUGGUUUAAUUCGACGGUACACGAAGAACCUUACCAGGAUUUGACAUGCUAGAUAGUUGCUUGAAAGAGUAACGUGCCGUAAGGAAUCUAGACACAGGUGGUGCAUGGCUGUCGUCAGUCCGUGUUGUGAAAUGUUGGGUUAAGUCCCGCAACGAACGCAACCCUUGUCUUUAGUUAUUUUCUAAAGAGACUGCCUGUAAUAAACAGGAGGAAGGUAAGGAUGAGGUCAAGUCAUCAUGCCCCUUAUGUCCUGGGCUACACACGUGCUACAAUGGGAAAGACAAUGAGCUGCAAAUCUGUAAAUUUAAGCAAAUCUCUUAAACUUUCUCGUAGUUCGGAUUGUGGGCUGCAACUCGCCCACAUGAAGUUGGAAUCGCUAGUAAUCGCCAGUCAGCUAUAUGGCGGUGAAUCCGUUCCCGGGCCU
rnacentral:rRNA from 1 species